rnacentral:rRNA from 1 species
UACGAAGGGUGCAAACGUUGCUCGGAAUCAUUGGGCGUAAAGCGCACGUAGGCGGCUUUGCAAGUCUGACGUGAAAUCCCUCAGCUCAACUGAGGAAGUGCAUCGGAAACUGCAAGGCUUGAGUACUGAAGAGGAUCGCGGAAUUCCCGGUGUAGAGGUGAAAUUCGCAGAUAUCAGGAGGAACACCGAUGGCGAAGGCAGGUCUCUGGGCCGAUACUGACGCUGAGGAGCGAAAGCGUGGGGAGCGAACAGG